UACAGAAGCAGCACACCUGACCAUGGAGCUCCUGCUGGGUCCAGCUGAUGCAGAUCAGAUCGCCAUCGUGCUUUGUCCAGAGAAGAGGUCAGUUGUUGUUAACCUUAGCUUGAUCUGUGAAUUGAAUCAAAGCUGUUUACCCUCUUAGUCUUUUUUUUUGUUGGCGGUGGUGUUUGUAUUUGUCCCUGUGUGCACUUCUGCUUUGAGGUGACGAUGGUAUGUUUGAGAGUAAAUGCAAAUGAAAUACCCACUGAUAUUUGAGUAUUUACAGUAUAUUUCCAUAUAAAAAAAUUGCACCCAGACAUGUUAUAGUAUAGGCAAAAGUUUUACAAGAUGAACCCACACCGAGCAGCUCAUGGUCCAAGAAAAGGCAGAGAGCGGCUGCAGAUUCCCUCUGAUGUCUCCAUCCACACCACCACAUAUUCAUCUAAAAAAAGAAGAGAGCAAUAGGCUGCCCUGCUGGCCCCAAACAGCACACUGGAUGCAAUGCUUUAUCUCGACGCAUUAACAUGAUAGAAAACUAUGAAUACUAGAAUCUUAUCUCAGCCACAUAUUACAAAGAGCAUUCAUCAUGAAGAACAUUAUAUAUGUAUCAUGUCAGCAGAGGGAAAAGAUGGUGCCGGCAAAAUCCCAUUUACCUGCACCAGAGCAGGGCCUGUUGUAUUGUCCACAUCUUAAAUAUGAAAAAGAUUUAUAAUCUCAUCCUAUUCAUCAUCUCACAUCCCUUACCCAUUUUUUGUUGCCAUCUUGGAUCUGAAAUUAACUUGCACUCUGGAGCUUAGAACUUAAUAGGAUAAAAAUAUAAAGAAAUACCUUUAAAAAGAGCUCCUUGGAAUCAGUAAGAUGUACAAUAUAUAUUAAGUGAGUGUGAAGCUGUGAUGUGCAGAUUGAUAAAUGGGCUGGAAUUACUCAAUUCUUCCUCUUUUAAUAAUUCUGUCAUCCUUACCCACCGUUUGACCAUUACACUAUUGCAGUCAUUUUUUGUAGAAAUAGGUAAUAUCAUCAGUCAUUAUAAUCAUUUAAUACAUCUUUUCUGCUCCUUCCUUUUACUUUUGCUUCCACUGGUGCCAAGUCCUGUAUCUAUCAGGUCCUCAUGGAAAUAAAUUUCACAGCAGGGCAGUGACACUGGGCUGUUUGCCACCGUGAAGUAUAGAGCCACACAUGGCUGCAAUAGAGAUGUGUACAAAGCGGAUGAGAAGGUGUACAAAUUGGCGGUGUUAGUGUUAUUAAUUAUUUUUGUCAUUAUGUUUUUGUCUUUUGUUCAUUGGACUCUACGUCAGGGUUUACUAUCUGCAUCUAUCUGCAUGUAAGAUGAGCUGGAUGGAGAAGAAGAGUCCUUACUUGUUUUUUAUGGAGUAGAUUCGUGACAUUUGACCUAUCGCUAAGCCCCGCCCCCCUUAGUUACUGUUACUAACUCAGACAAACAAUCGGAGCUAAGCAGUACUUCACAAUGGCCACUGCCAGAGUCAAAAUGCUACCCCCAAGAGGGUCUCGACCAAUUCUGGGCACAGAAAGACGUAAUUUCCUCGAGAACCCUUCAAAACGGACUUUAUUAAUCCAUGGAGGGAUGUGUCCAGAUGGUAAAAUUAGAUGCAGUGGGUGAGAACACAGUUAAACUGGAGGCGAGAGUGUACAGAUCCCAAUACAAGAGGGAGAAACCUCAUUUCGCAGUCGUUACGAUUUCAGAUGACAUCAUCCAAGACCAACAGUGAGUGUCAAAGUCACUCAGCUAGUGUGCUAACCUGGGCUAACAUUAGCGUUAGCUAGUUAGCCAGAGGCGAAAGCUCUGUCACUACAUCGCAAAUGACGAUUAAAUAACUGUCAGUAAAGUUUGUGGAUUUAAAGCUAUGUUGGUGUAACUUGCCUUAAAACAAACACAGACAUCCUUGUUGAUCUUCUGGAUGUUAAGUUGGCUGAGUGGUCUGCCACACAAUCUAAUCCAUAGCAGACAUUUUCUUCAGUCUUUCUUUGGUUUUGGAAAUGGAAUGAAAUACAUUCCGUUAUAUUUAAAAUUAGCACCAUAAAACAUAUGAAAAAUCAUGACUUCUCAUACUUCUCUAUGGAGCUGAAAGCUACAGAUGUCUGAGUUCCAGUCCUGGUGCAGCUGAUUCUAAACUGCCAUUGGCUCAUCCGCAUUCUUAGUGAUUGGUCAAUUGUGACGCAAGCUUCAGAGUUAAAUCCAGCUUCCUCCCUGGAGCCAAACAAGAAGCUCAUUCAGAUAAAUCACUUAAUAAGAAAAAAGAAACCCUCUGUGGUGUGGAAUGGCACAGCCUCAGACUGAUGUAUUUUAAUAGAAGUAUUAUUGAAGUAAUAAUAACACACAGUAUGAACAGAUAUGUUGAUUUUAGGUCACCAAGAAGAGGAAUUGUUGGCAUGAUCACUGAGAAGUCUGCGCAUGACUACUUCACCAAAAUUUCACUUUGAGUGUGUCUGUCUGUUUGGGCUGGUGUUUGUAAAUUAGGUGUUUUUUUUUUUCAAUUUAUUCAUACUGCAUGAACAGGCUGUGUUUUGCCCCUAAUGAUCGCAUGAUGGUUAUGUCAGAGUCUUUCCAGAAAGAUUGCUGCAGUUGUUUUGCUUUCUGUUAUUUAUUUUAUCAUUAAUGUUAUGUUUCUAAGAUGUUUAGAAUAAAAUAUGCUAAAUUGAUAAAAAUUGUGUUUGUUCCUGUUGUUUUUUUGUUUUUUUCUAAAUACGCGCUGUGGAAAAUAGGAAUUUAUCUAAAAUGAAUAAUUAAGGACUUCUUUUUUUCUUUUUUCUUUUUUUGCAGUGUAAGUGAUUCUCUGAUUGUAAUGGUGUUUUAAUUCAAAAAGCUUUACAUGCUCUACAUAUUUAAACAGCAGUGUAUAUGCUAAUCACUGUUUGUGUGUAUUUCACUCUUGUAUUUCUGUACAUGUAGUGAAGGAAGCAUCCGGACCAUUAGCGACCGAAGCAGGAGGAUAGGAAUGAAGAGGAAGAGGAGGAAUAAAGCUUUAUUCUCACACCUCUUUAAAGAGGCUGGAGAAAUGUACACAGUUAAUCUUCCUCCCCUUUGAUUUGAUUGGGUCUGCUAAAUACAAGGGGACUUAAUCAAGCUUAAAAAUAACAAACAAACAAACAAAUAAAAGGGAGGUCCUGGGAGAACUCAUUAGAAGCCUUGUCAAACUCCAAGAGACUACAUAAUUACUUUACCAAAAUAAAAAUGCAAAGCUUUUUCAUUUGUAUUUGCUUUCCUUUCUGAAAAACUGCUGAACUAAGGUCGCUGAAACUUUCACUUUUCCUGCUUUGAAAACUUUGAUUGAGCAGACAGAAGCGGCUGUGCGAGGAGACUCUGCGCCUCUGCAGCCUGUUCGUCUCUGAGCUUCAUUUGAUACUUAAAAACCUCUGAGGAGAAACCCAAGCGUGGCCUGAUGACGUCCAUCAAUACGAGUGGAGAAAGAGGAAAAUGAAAAACACAUGCACUUCCUCCCCUUCAUUAAAAGACAGAAAAUCAGGCCCUGCUUGACAAGGAAAUGAAACAAGUUGGGCAAAUUUCUAUGAAUAAAUCUUUUUUUGUCAUUUUAAUUACCGGAUCAACAGCGGCUCAGAUGAACGGCCCGGCCAUCAAUCUUUAAUUAAUGUCACGCUUUGUGGAUUGCAGCGAUGCUGGGUCUGAUUGAAAAAUAAGCCCAAUGAUAUUUCUAUUAGAGUUUGUUUUAUUAAUAAUGCGUCAGGGCUUUAAAAACAUGUUGCAGUGAUAGCCAAUCACAGGAGGACGAUGGACGGAUUUUACAUUUAGCUCUUAAAGAUUCACACUCUACUUAAGAUCUGCUUAAUUAUUUUUUACCUCCAUAAUUUAGUCUUCAAUAUUUCACUUUAAAGUUCAGAUUCCCUCUCUCUCUAGUAUCAGCUGACUUGUGUUUAGAUGUGAGACUGAAAGCCACAACAGGAUUUGAUCAGUCGUCCAUUAAUGUUUUUAUUUUAUUUGCAGCCUUUUACGAAACUCCUUUAUUUCUCAGUUUCUGGUGACCUGAUCACCUAUAGAGCAGACCUUGCAGGAAAAGAGUAAAACAUUUAUAUUCCAUAAUUUUAUGUUUAAAUUAGUACAUAAUCACCUGAUUACAAAGAAGUCCUGUAAUUCUUCUUAACUCCUACAAUCUGUGACUGUUACCUGUUUUCUUCUGUUUGGUUGGUGUCUUUUAUAUCCAAACAGGAGCAGGUCCCCUUCAACAAAGGCUGGAAUCCUAUGUGGAUCUCCCAUCUUAUGUGGAUUUAAAUUGCUCAUUCUCAGUGAAAUGAGAAUAUUGAGCGAUAGCAGUCAGAUUUGAUUGCAGAGCUCCCUUGCUCACCCCUGUUGUUGGUGAAGUAAUACUGGUGUUCUACAACAAGAAGCUCCUGUGAUGCGUGAUAAGUGUGAUCCUCCAUUUGUCAAGGUUUUACCAUCAUAAACACAAAUUAUUUCGCACAUGAUUACUCUCUUUAUCCUAUUUAGUCAUUUGGAACCCAUUAGCUAUUAUGAAGCAGCUACUCUUCCUGAGGUCCACCCAAACAAACAUAAAGUUCUUGUGCAAAUCGAUUACAGAAUUUAAAGCUAAAAGCAAGAUUUUAAAACAGUGACAUUUAAAAGGCAAAAUCAAAAACCAGAACAAACCUGUUACUAACCAUACAAAUAAUCCCUAAGGUGUCCUCUCAUCAUCCAUCCUGAGCUUAGAAGAGUUGAGUUUCCUUUGUGCUCCUCUUUCUUUGAAUGUUUUUUUUUUUUUUUCAGGGAAGUUGUUGGAGUGCUCUUGACCUGAUUGUUACAUGCUUGAGUUGUUGGUACUUUAUCCUCAUCCCUCCUCCAAGAUGAAUGUUGGAAGUUUAUUUUUAAGUCAUCAAUUACUCAAACUUAGCCGCAGCUUUCUCUCCUCUUCUGCCUGGUGCUGCACCUUUCUGUCCCCAGGGCCGCUGUAUGACAACCUUCCUCUCCUCCAUUAAUUUAGGGCACACUGUGUCUUUUUGUAAGUUUUACAAUACAAUAGCUCUUGAUUUUUCUGUGUCACCAGUCUUUUUUUUUUUUUUUGCUUUUCUAUAUUUUUUUUUGUUUCUCCUUUCUAAAGCACUUUAAAUCUGUCUGCAUGCAGCUCCUCAUAAAUCUCUUACACUCUGUCACAGCUUUCACUAAAAGAUGCCGUCACAGCUCUGGAGAGGUAAGUGCUGUUGACCUGCUCACAUACACAAAAAUCCACAUCUGUCCUUGCAGGGAUGGCUUGGAUCUCUGAAAACUUCUGCAACUUGUAGCUCAUAUUUCUUGACCAAAGUUAUGAAAAAAUGUGUUCUGUUUGUCCCCUGUAUGCUUUGAGUAAAAGAAACGGUGUGUGUGUGUGUGUGUAUAUAUAUAUAUUUUUUCACAACACGUGAAAAUUAGGGCUGAUUAUCUGCAAGACCCUCACAAUUGAAGAAAAAUGUGUCCCAGUGAGACUAAUGAGAAUCUCAUCAAACGUUAACAUAUAAUAUGACUCAAGGAGUCAGCCUAUGCAGGCUAGGUUCUACGAGGGUGUGAAAGCAUACAUUGCACCCUGUUUCAAAUUUCUGUACCCCCAAAUGAAUGGAUGCAAAAGCGGCACAUCAGCAGAGUUAACUUCUAUGACUCCCUGUGGCCCACAUUAACAGGAAUGCAAAUAGAUCAUGAAAAUAAAUUAAACAAUAAAUAAAAUAAAAUGAUAAAACAGCUGGUGGAAAUUAACAUUGACAACAAUACCACAUCAUUUUUCGGAGGUUACAGAAGCAUGCAUUUCUAACUUUCUGCACCCUUUAAUGGAUGACAGAAUUUAUUUUAGAAAAAGUAGUUGAAGGUUGACAUGGCAACAGUAAGUCAGGCUAUUUAGUCCAUUAAAGGUCAGGAUGGGAUCACAAGAACUUUGCCGCGUGUUAUUUGUAGUAUGGGGCACCAGCAGGGGGAGCUUCAGUGAAUUAUUGACUUUGAAUCAUCAAAAACCGUGGAUCACUGUUCAUGGAUCACAGAUAUCUUACAAACAGACGACUUCAGCCAUAGUUGUCCACCUCACUGUUGCAGAUCCACCCAAAUCUCAGCCUCACUUACCUCUCCCACACUCAGCCCAGAUUUAAACACAACCCUGCAGCUGUCUGCCAGAGCCAGGUUACCUUAUAAAUACCUGUCUUAUUUGUUCAGCGAGGUAAGAUGUACAUUUUGUUGUUGGAAUGAUCAUUCUGAUCCAGCAGCAUAAAUUUGUGCUAUCUAUCACUCUAUUGUUAUUGUUGGUGCAGAUCACUGUAGCUGCACCCACAAUAGUUUCAAAUCCACUUCAAGUGCAUUUUGUCCUAUUCCUGGGUCUGAUGGACUGAUCUUAGUCUUAAAUAAGAAAAAAAAUGGAUUGAAAAGAAGACAUGUACUUCAUGAAUUUUCUUCUACAACAAAUGCACACCUUGGCAGGAGCGUGGCAUUUCCACAAAUGGUGAUAAUGCUCAUUUUUGUUAGUCUAAAGAAAUGUACCUCUAAGUUUGAAAGAUUUUUACUGAAGUCUUUUUGUGAGUGUUUAGAGAUUCGAUCCAAAUAUAAAGACAUUCUUCAUCUAUUUGGACACUCCAGUGUGUCCUCUAGUAAAGGUGCAGCUCUAAACCAGCGUUUGUGUCCAUAAUGAAAUAGAUGGGAGUUUUUUGAGCUCUUAAAAGGCAUUACAGACAUGAGAGUGAGUCUCAGUGUUAAGAGCACACACUGUAGCAGCCAUACAGCAGCACUUUGCAUACUAUUUUCCUCUUCAUCUGGCUGAUAUUUUGGUUCCUAAUGAAAUCACACACAAAUCGCCCAAAGUGCUGACAACACAAGCUGCAAGGCCAGAGAGCCAAUCCUCCCAGGGCUCCAUUUAGAUAGCAGCUAAAGGGGCUGCUCUCAAACUAGAUUUGAUUCUCUUGUCUUUUUACUCUUCCAUUGCUGCAUGCAUGGAUGCUGUCUGGAAAUAUCUGAAAAGAAGCAUACAAAAAAAAGAGAAAAGAAAAUACCAGCGACUUAAUCUUAAUCCACGCUCUGGAAGAAGACCGGAGAGAGAAAGAGAAUGAAAGGCGGACAGACGGACAGCGGUGGAGAAAUGCUCAAUAUCAACCCACAUGGUAAACUUCUUUGCAUCUGGUUCUGUAGCUGUGGCUAUAUUUUCUUCUCAAAAUGACACUUUAAUUAAACAAAUUACUGCGCCUCAGGAGAAGGACCUUCAAGAGUGCGAUAAGGCCGCGGGGAGAUAAAAGCCUUAUAGGCAGUGUUUAUCAGAGACGCGGGGGUUUAAACCUUUAAUAGGUAAUGCCCAGAUAAGUAAGCCUUUGUGGUGUUACUGGUGCAGAGAUAUUUUACGCAGAGGAGCUUACCAAAGAGAGGGGAAAAAGAAGCUUGAUCAAACCAACGACUUAAAGAGUCACUGAUUAAGAACGGCAGAAAAAAGAGGGACAGCAAAAGUGUCCCCUCAGUAAACUCUCCUCUUUUAUUCAUGCACAUAUUUGGUUAUGCAGGGACGCUGCUGAGAUUGAGCUCCUACCGUAUUUUCUGUGGGUUUAACCUUGGCUAGGAUGCGAAUGGAUGCUGCUUUAUUGUUAAAAAACAGCAUUUGUGAUAACAGUCUUACCAAUUUUCAUGGAUUAACAUGAGUGCAAACAUUUAAAGGCAUGCAUUCUGCUGGAAAAUUUCACCUCUAAUGUUUACUCUUGCAGAGCUAAGAGCCAUUGUUAACAUAAGUCAUUUUAAGUCAGUGGUUUUCCCAUAAAAGUUAUCCAUAUUGUCAUAGAAAAGGAGAAAAUCUCGAUUUGAGAAGCAAAAAUCAAAGGAUAAAAAAAGAGUGUUGUUAUUUCUUUUGGUAAAAAUAUUUUUAAGCCAGAGAAAGUGAGGCGCAGUAACUUAAUAGGCUGACACACUUUGCAGAUUCCCAGAGCUCUCGUUUCAGUUAUUUGAUUUGUUUGUUUUUCUGCAUGUUAAAAAGCUGAUAAUACUGUAUAUGUUUUUUUUUCUUUAAAAGACUUCAGUAAAUCUGUCUAUUCAAAAAUAUGUUCAAAGAUAACUUGUCAGAUAAAAGUAAUAAGCUACACAUACCUGCCUUGCUGUACUUUUACUUUUUAGAUAUCAUUUAAAAUCUCAUCUUAACUGCAAUAGCUCAUAAUUCAGUAAUGAUGGCAAAGUUUAGAGAUAAAGUAAAUGCAAGAUGAGACAGUAGAUCAUCAGGGUAGUGAGAAGGUGAGUCGAGAAGAGAAAACAAUGAAUAACUGCCAACAUGGGCCGGGUUACAGAGAAUUACCCCACGCAGGGCCCAUAAUUUUGUGCAGCUGCUCUGCAUGGCACAGAAAGUAAGUAUAGAUCAUUUAGUGGGCACAGUGCGGGCAUUUCAGGGGCAAAUGCAGGGCAGGUAGUGAAUUAUGUUAACUCAGAUGGCAACCUUGAGAAAUCAAAACAAUGCUGGAUUGCUUAAACCUGCAGUUCCCUGAGGUUGACUGCAGAAGCAGUGGAAACCACAUAAACCAAGAUAAAACAACUGUUUCUGAAGCAAAAAUAAACUUGUUAACUCAGGGCUCACAUGUUUACAGGAGGAGACAUUUUCCUAAAUAUGUUUUAAAGUUAUUUAGAGGCACAGCUGACAUGACUAACAGGCGGGCACACUAUAGCUAUUUGUGAGAAGGCUAAAGGCCCGCCUCUGGUGGGUCAACCGACCGUUAGAUUGAGUUAGCCUUACCAAUAUUAUGACCACUGCUAACAGGAACAUACAGGUGACGUCGCUGAUACUACUCUCAUUUACUGUACUGCCUAUGAGUCAGAGACGCUAAAGAAGCCCACAUGAGUGAGUUAAACUGAAGUCAACACAAUGCAAAUCUAAUUGAUUUCUUUUUAAACAUUUAUUCACACAGAUCAAGACUAAUUGUAGCUGGGUUGGUUUUACUGCUGCUGCAGAGUGCUCCAAACUGCUACUAAUGCACCUUUAACCUGGCCAUCAGACCCCUCUGUGCUGUGAGAUAGAAGGCUCAUAGAGAGAACGAUGACCAGGGGAACUUUUGUCACUCUACCUGAACUUAAGUCAUCCUAAAUGGGAGAAACUUUUCAGAGGAGAACUGUCACCACAGCAUUGAUUGUGUCAUGAUGACAUUAAAAACAUAAUGGUCGUUACACACCAGCGAAUUAGCAAAGCCGGUGUGCAAAGUGACAUGAAAAUGCAAAACCUUCAGCUUUUGCCUUUUCCCAUACACACCUGGUGUGACGUGAAUAAAAUUCACAUAUUCCCAUAAAAAUAUGCCACAGGAGAACAGAAGGGGAGAGAGAAGAAGGAGAAACAAUGGCGACUAUAUGCUCAAGUGAUGGUCAUGGUUGUAAGCCUGUUAAGUAACAAAAAAGAAGAAGAAGAAGAAUCCAAGUGUCUGAGUACAUCAAAUGACCUUGCAACAUAAGAUGGGGGAGCUCCACACAACGAUCCAGGAGCUUAAAUUGUAUCCCAACAUUAACAGAUUGUAUCACAAAAUUCUGACAAUACUUCUGAAUUUCCCUUGGACAAUUUGAAGAACUGCUUGAUCAAGAUUGAUCCAGAGCAACAGCUUGUCACAUGUCUGCGGUAAGAUUUAUUUUAGGCUAUGGAUUUAUGUAGCAGUUUGCCUGAAAAUGUUCGCAUAAUUCUUUACGGGGGUGAAAAAAUUACAGCCGCUUUUUUGCUCUUCUGAAAUUCGUAGCAGGUGUGGAAGCUUGCAUUGACCUUGAGAUAAAAAAAAAUAAAAAGCAAGUUAUUUCUCUGCCACUUGCAUGAGUAGAAUUAAACUGUGUGCUCUCUUUAAAAACCUAAAAAGAAAAAAGUAAAUGACUCAAUUUUAUUGUGAUGAAUAAAAUAAAAUUGAAAUAAAAUAAAAUUGUUGUAUUGUAUGAAAAAAAGUUCAGAGCUGUAAAAAGUUAUGGUGAAAAGUGGCAUUGUUGAAUGCACAUCUCAUCAGCCACAUGCUAACAGGUUUUGACAACUAUUUUGGUAUGGCUAGGAGACAACCUGAUAGUAUGGAGCUGAAAGAGGGCAUGUCACCACCUACCGUAGCAGAGGCGGACAUGCUUCUGUUAAUAAUUCAGUUCUUGUUGGUGCUUAUAAACUGGGACAAUGAGGGUAGUCCAGGUAACUCACCUGACUGAGCUAUAACAGUAACUCAACUCAGCUGUGCAGUUGCAUGUACUGAUUGUUGAGUUCAUGGCUGUAAGAGUUGCAUGCAUCCUCCCCCCGUAUAUCUUGCAGCUUACAGAUUACAGAUGGGACUCAUUUGCUCUUGCAACUUUUGGCUUAUAAUACUGGGAUAACUCGGGGCUGAGCCAGACCUCUUUGACUGGGGCACAGAGUCUUUUUGAGGUGACCAAACUGGGUCAAUAUAUGGGGAAUACUUCAAACUUAGGGGGUUCAUCUCCACGGAUUUUAUUCCAUCAACCAUCGGGCACAUUGACACGGGAAAGAAACCUUGAGAGCUGUUGGUUUUUCUUUGGUUUUACUGAGUUUUAUUUGGUCUUAUUUGAUUCAUUUUAAUCUCUUACACCUGAGCACUGUUGUUAUUUUAUAUGUAUUUCCUGUUGCUUGUACUGUGCUGUUUGUUCGCCUACUGUCAUACAUGUGAUUCACUGCAAACAAAAUUUACAUGAGGGUAAAAAUAAAGUAACCUUUGACCUUCGAAUCACAUCUACUUGAACUUCAAAAAUAAAAUGAUUUUAAGAGUUUAAACUUAUGUACAACUUUACAUUUUGAAAGAUUACUUUGCAAAGUGGAAUCAUUUCAAUCUGCUGAAUCUAAUUCUCAAAAAGACAAUGUUUGAACAGUUCAAACAACCUAAACAGCUGAUCUCAAUCUGAUGUCUGUGAUGAGACAUGUUGACUGACUGACCGAAUGAUUGACUGAAAGCUGCAAAAAGGAUCAUACAACAGAUCCACAGCCAUAUAAAAUUCAUUAAUGCAAAAAAAGAAGAAAAAAAAACCUCAAUUAAUUUAUCGCAGAUCCAAACUUUGAAGUACAGUUUGAGUUAGUUUCAGUACUCACUUUCUUUGAAAGUUUGAGCCAAAAAGAAAAACUGUGAUCAAAGUGAAAACAUCACUUCAAAUAAACAGCAGAGACAGCAGAGGGACGGCACAUUUCAGUAACUGAAGACAGAAGAAUCAACUGCAGAGACGGAGAGACAGAGAGAGCUCCUGCUGGCUGUGAGGCCUGUCUGAACACACUUCAUAUGUUUUAGUUUAGACAAGCAUGUGGAACGGUUACACUACAAGACACCAUUAACCUGACCCUGAGUGUAGAGGCCAAAGAGAGAAACAAUGAGGAGGGAAAAAAAGGGAUGGGUGUCACUGACUGGAGCUGGUGCUUUAACCUCACAGACACACACUGCAAACAUGCACCGCUUCAACCACAGCAAAGAGCUCUGCAGUGAGUUAACCGUCCCCCUGAGGGAGGGGGAGAGAGCUGCAGACGCUAAGAUCACUUCCUGUGCAUAUCUCAGCCUGCCCCCACCUCCUGCGUGUGUCUGUGUGUGCGGGCGUGCACGCAUGAAGGGGAGGCAUAUGCCCAGAAUCCUUCCCCUUUUCCUCCUCACUGAGGCUGCAGACCACCCUGAAGUGUGUUCAAAGACCUCUGGUGGUCAUGGGAAAUCAUCUCUCUCAGUAAAUGUUGUUCUUUGCUUCUUUUUCUUCAAAGGACAUGCCUCCCUCGCUCUCCACUGUGCAACCCGAGACGGUCAGGACUGAUAGCGCAGAAAUGAGUCAAAUGCAACAGCUGCAUAAAGUGUAGUGCACCGCUCCCGCUAUGCUCAUUUUCAUUUCAGCACAAAUCAUUUACAUUACAAUCAGGAGCAGUGUUUCUUUGUUUUUCCCUCACUGGGGGUGUUCUCUCUGAGCGUUUUGAUGAAUAGAACGAAUGCAUCAUCAAAUGCUCUCCUCCGAUCACACAUAUCCAUUAUUCAGAAGAUAAAAGCAGCAUGGAAAGAAGAAGGGUUUGGUUUGUCAAUGGCAGCCCUGGGCACAGACAGUUCUCUGCCUGUCACAUACCUGCCGCUGCCACUUCCCUUUAGCAUAAGCAAGCGUGAAAUGUUUACUUGAACACAUUUCUGAAGGAGAGCGUGGAAUGGGUGCUGGCACGAGCUGCAUAGGAGGAACGCCGAUGUGACAGAUAUAUAAAACAGGGUGAAUGAGAGAAAGGCGGAGGAUGAGAGAGGAGGACAGAGAGAGCUCAAGUAAGUGUGUGUGUGUGUGUGUGCGUGUGUGUGUGCAUAAGAAAGUGAAAGACUAACUGCCAUGUUGUAGCAGUUUCACAGGCGAGGUGAGUGUUCAGUGUGGGAUAAAUCCAACCUGAUGCUCCCGUCCAUGUGCCUUCAAAGUGUGCAGGCAUUGCCAUGCUGUUCACGUCACAGGACAGGCACACAUUAGCUGUCAAACUCCUCUUUCAUCUCACAACUUCAAAGAGGCCCAUUGAUUACUCUAAGUGGCCAUUACCAAACAUCCAAGUCAGCCGCCGCAGUCAAAGGCAACCACUGACAAAGAGGCCGGCCCAAUCAUCAUGAGGCUGAAUCUGGAGUGGAUGGAGGGGACAGACAGACAGACAGAAAGAGACGGUGAGAGACAGCAGAGCCAGGAGACUGAGAAUAAAAGAGAGAUAGCACCAAAGAAGACAAAACAUCACUUGCAAAAACAGCGCACAAUAAAAAUGACAAGCACUUGUGUGUGUGUGUACAAACAGACGCUCUUGUAGAAAGUGUGGUAGACGAGUGAUGUGAACACGGGAUCCCCUGAGAAUCUCCCCCAUGAUAGCUCAAGACAACGAAACAGAGCCAAGCUGCUGUCUGCCGACAGACUCACACAGCAUCUGGAUCUGAGCGACGGAGGGAGACGGAGAGACCGAAAGAGAGAGAUGGAGAGUAAGAGACUCAGACGGAUACAGACAGGAUUAGGGAGAAGCCAGACUGUAGUCAGAGCUGCACCGCUCUCCUCUCCAUCCUCUGACGGGCUUCCUUGUUCUUCAUACAGUCAAAUAAAUGUAGGCCCUGUCUAUGUUUGUGAAUGUAGAUUUGUAUCUGUAGUCUGGCCUUAUGCACACAUGUAAACUUCAGUCACUGAAACUGAAGGGAAACACCUCCCAGGUUGGAGGGAUUUAGAACUGUGUUGUCUGUUUUUUAUGCGGACAGGGAAACACUGACCUCACCUCUACAUGUGCAUGCCAUUUGAUAUUUACAUGUACCAAGAUGGCUGACGACCAGUAUAUGCUUGCAAGGAAAUCUCAUUCUCGUUUAUCAUGAUACCAUCAUACCAACUCAGUCGCUCUCGUCUAUACUCGGCUCAAAGAUUUCUAUAGACAACAGCCACUUGCACAAGAACGUGUUCAGUACACAUUCUUACAGUAUCUGAUGAGCUGAUCGCUCACUAUCUCCACCUAUCAGCUUGGCAGGUUUGUGUUACUACAACCUUUUCUGUGUUGUCAUGGAGACAGAGAAAUAACAACAACGUGACAAUUCAACUAUUUAAAAGGGGAGUGGUUUGGUCGCUCUGAAUACAAAUGAGUUCAUAAUGUUAUAUCAUGAAGCAUUUUUAAUCACAUUUGCCUCGCAUCAGAGUGAUCUUUCCCUCUCCCUAUCUUGUGUAAACCAUUUCUUCAUCUCAAAUGGAGUUUCUUAAUAGUUAAAUGAAAUGACUCAAAUGAUAAAGAAGCGGUUGAUUCAAAGCAUAUGAAUCCCUCUGUUUUUAGUUUUUAUACCACAUGAUGGGAAUGUGCUAAAACAAUGAACGCAGAACAAAAACAGAGCUUUAUAAAGGUAAAACUAAACAUAUAUACGAAGGCAAAGUGUGUUCUAACAGCAUGAGUUUUACUGUAAAUUAACCUUAAUUAAACAGAAAUAGUUUAAAACUUAAUAAAGACAAGCUGAAAAGAAAGGAACCAUGAACAUUUGUGCAGGAAAAUUCAGUAUAGACAACGUAGAGUGACAGGUAAUGUGCAUUUCCAUUAAUGAAUUGAUAUGGAUUUCUGCUUGGUUACUGUAAUUGAUUGUGUGUUUUUUGCUUGUUUAAACGCACCUGUUCAUUUAUGAAAAAAUAAAGGCUGAAAUUAAAUAGAAAAAUUGAUCAACGUUUGCUUGGCAAUAACAAACCAAUCUGAGCUGAGACCAGCUGAGCAGCUCUUCUUUACUGCAUCAGUGUUCUCUCACUGUUCAACCCCAACCAUCCAAACUCUUCACUCCAUCAUAUCUGAUGUCUUGAUGAUGUCACAUCUGCAGUCCUAUAGCGAGGUCGCCAUAACGAUGAUGAUACUGAAUGAUUUUGUGUGUGUGUGUGUUACUGUAGAGAACAAGCAGCAACCCAUCACAACAACAUGUGUGUCUAUUGGUCAUCAGAGAGACAUUUAGUGAGCAACACUGUGUGCACGUUUGUGUGUGCACGUUUGUGUGUGUUUGUGUGCGUAUGUCUACAUGCGUCAGACAUCUCCAUCCCGGUGGCAGGGAGGAAACACUGAUUUAUCUGUUGUCAUUAAACUGGUGCCAUUAUUACUGUGCCCUGCUCUCCUCUUUCAGCAGAGCAAAGCCUGCAGCACAGACACACACUAACAAUACACUUUACACCUGCAGAGCCAUGAGCACUGCUUUUACAACAGACACACACUCGGCAACACGGCUGAGUUCUCACUCUCUGAAGUGUUUUUUUUUUUUUUUUUGUACUGUGGUUCAGCUGCUCUGCUCUGUGCCUGUUUGGAGUCUUUGAAUAAUGUUAAAUAAUGCUGUACUUGACCUUCAGUCUACUGAUUAUACAUUUUAUCCACUGUACCUCGGUGCUGAGGCAAGCCGCAGGGUAUCAAGCAAAUAUUUAUUUAAUUGUAAUUAUUAUAACAGGUUUGAAAUUUUCAUUACGUUUACUUUUGAAGUUUUAGUUAAACUGUAUUUGUUUAUGUUAUUUUUUUAUUUAUUUAUGUAUAUAGAUUUUUACUUAUGACCCAAAAUGACCGGAAGAUAGUGUAAAAAAAACUCUGGUUUAACUGCAGUGUAGGAGAAAUGACUUAAAAAUUAGUAAUGGUGGAUGUUAUAAUGCAUAGCCAGUGAUAAAUGCUGUUUAUUAGUGUAUGGUAUGUUGGCCCUAAAGAGCAACUGUGAAAUAUUUGAUAAAUGUAACAAAAACACCUACAGAAAUCUACAGAAAAAUCUACAGAAAAAAACUAGCAGCAACAUCAUAUUUUUUUGAAUAUGCUGCAAAAGCAUCAAAGUCACUGCUUUUUUUUUUUUUUUUCUCGAUGUGCUACAGAAACAUUUAUGUUUUUUUUUGUUUGUUUUUUGCUGAUAAAAAAUGAAGACGCUGUUUUGGGUGCUGCAGAUAACAAACAUUUCAGUUGCUGCAUAUAUUUUUUCCCGCUGAACCCACAUGGGACUUUUUUGCGGACACAUCAGAGGUUUACCUGUAGGAACCAUGCAGUGGGUCCAAAUGACCUGUGACAUGGAGACCAAAACCAUUUAUCACUGCAAUAUCUGGCUGCAGAGAUGGAUUUGUUCGGGUCUUCGACAAACUUUAGAAAUUUAUUACACAGAACAUAAAUUUUUCUCCCCCCUGCUUGCGGUGUGAGACUAGUUUGUGCUCAAGUCCUUUUUUUUCUGUGAAACUCUGUUUUUAAAAGUUAUUUGGGGGUUCAUGUUUUCUUUGAUUGACACCUGAUACAGCCUAUUGGCGUUCAGGGAUUGCAUAGCUCAUCCUGGGGAUACGCUGUUUGAGCUGAGCAUCAUCAUAGCAACUCUCGGGGACUCUUGCGGCGAAUGCACACAAUGCUACUGCGCAGCGCUGGUUUCAGGAAAUGAAGAAAAAUCCCGGAAAUACCGAGAGCUUUUUGGCUUCAAAUCUGUAUACAGGCAGGAGGCGAAACCAAGUUGUCCAUAGUUUAUACAGUCUAUGUGUGAAACAAACUAGAGGCUAUUUUCUCAAUAACUGGUAAGGUCAAACUAAGGGCACAGCUAAAGUGAGGGAUAAUGUCCUUUAUCAUAUAUGAGAUCACCCAGAUUUGAAAAAUCCAGUACUGUCUCAUUAAGCAGCCAAAAAUCUUUGCAAAGGAACAUGUUAAUAAAAAAAAGUAAACCCCUCUCCCAGAGUAAAUACUGUUUGUGUAUACUGCUGCUUCCCACACCGUAACAGAUCAUCACUGCUGCCUCUCAGACGGUCUCUAUAUGUUGUCUAUGGCAGAGCUUGGAGGCAGAUGGCACUGCCAGACAUGUAUAUAUUUUAUGCUUCUACUCCACCUACACUCAGAGGCUUUGGGUGCUAAAAAGCUCAUAAAAAAAAUCAAAGAUCAGCGGAUAGAGCUAAUAAUAUAAUCAUUGGGAACACCUGCAAAGUUGCAGAUGGGUGAUUUCAGGCAGACGCUUCGUCAGUCGCAAGGCCCCGCCCACCCAUAUGGAGAGCUGGGGCAGCAGGGACACUGUCACUCAUCCUCUCUCUCUCCUUAUGCCACACACAUACACACAAACACACAAACACACACACACACGCAUUUAUGAAAGGUGUUAAUUUGCAUUUAUGUCUGUGAGGAUAUAUAUAGAAUAAAUAGUGCUGCGGUAGACAAACUCAGACUCAAGGCCAAGAUUACACUGAAACCAUCUUCAGCAAGUGAUUAAUACAUUAUUGACAAACCAGCACCAUUAACCGUGAAAAAAAUCUCUGUUUAAAAAGCUCUGACAGUGACUUCAGAGGUGACAAGACACAUCACUGUUUGUUUUCCUGUUCUCACCAAUCAUUUGUCUGCAACAAGAAUGAGGGUAAGGCUGCAAAAUUAUGACAAAACUCAUAAUCACAGCUGUUUUCAUUGAUAUAAUGUCACUAUUUGUCAUCUGCAUCACACACAUUUAUAAAACUUGUAAAGAUGUCAUGUAUACUACUACUGAAAGGGACAAUGCAUCAGAAAAUAAAAUCAAAAUGAAAAUAAUUGCCCAAUGUUGGUAUAAAUUUUCACAGCCUUGUUCAUUGUCAUAGGGAGAUUUUCACCUUGUGCACCUAAGUUUAAAGUCUGUUUUUUUGCAGGGGUGUCAAACUUUCAGCCCAACAGCCAUUGCGUCCCAGCCUCCACCCUGUAGCUUGGCCCUGAUACCAAAAUUUUCAUUUAUUUAUUAAUUUUUUUUUCAAACCUUUAUUUAACCAGGUAGGAAAACCCAUUGAGAUUGAUAUCUCUUUUACAAGGGUGACCCUGCCAAGAGGUCAGCAGCACAUGUCACAAUAAUGAUGAUAAUGAUAAAAUCCACUUCCCAAUAUUUUUUUAAGUCCAUUACUUUUCUUCUAGUUUUCUUCAUGUAACUACAAUGAAGAUAAAAACACAUUUUCAUCAUAACAUAUUAAAUGAACCUACAUGGCAGGUUUAUUGAGAUAUUGAAAUCAGGUCACAGGACUUGUUGAAGUUUAGUACGAAAUUCAACCUGUCUUAUAUGCAGGAAAAGAAAGGACUAGACUUUGACUUUAUUGUCCCCCAUGGAGAAUUUUUUUUUUGGUCACAGCACUGUCUCCAUGCAACAAAAUCCACCACAGUUAAACGCAGGACAGUACACACAGUAAAACAUAUUACACACAUUACAAAAGCAAUUUCAUUUAUGAGGCAUCUUUCAUUACAGGUAAAUUCAACAUGUUUUACAUUCAGCGUGAAAACAUAGAAAAACAACCAAUAUGCAUAUACUCAACAUAUACCAGACAGCAAUCAAACAUCACAAUUAUGAAGGGAAUAUAGACCUAAUAAGCAGUGCUGCACAUGCAAUCAACCACAUGACCUAUAAUUUUGACACACUCAACAACAAAAAAAACUAUUGGCUUAUAUGCUCAGGAAAAUGAAUACACUUUCAUUUUAGCAUCAUUUCUGGACUUCACAAAGGAACCAUAAUCAUAAAUAUGAAACAGAUAAAAGUGUUUACAAACUGGUAUUUACAUUUUUUGCAUUAAACACAAAAUUGAUAGUAUGGUCCCUGAUGAGGUCAGAGUGCUGCAGUGGACACAGCUGCAGAUGUGGAAGCAAAUACAUGUCAUACUUUACCACAGCAGAUAAUAUAGACGUUUUAUACUUAAGUGCUCUGGUCCACAUAAUUAUCGAAGAGCAGAAUAUCACAUCUCUUAGCCUGAUGGUGAGGUGGUGGGGGGGCAAACAUCUGAUACAUUAUCAUUAACUUAAAUAUGUUGUGUUUGUGUAUCUCAGAUGUGUGCCUCAUCUUUUUGCCACCCUCACAAUCUUCCUUCAUGACACCACCCUUUAGCAGCACACUUCCCAAAGCUUCCCUACUUCAUAUAAGAGCCGUCUUCAUCUGAUCUCUUAUUUCUCCUCAUAGCUCACUAAAAUAAGACUCUCGUCGUGCCUCCACUUUGCUCUCCCACUUUCUCUCUGUCACUCUACAGAUGCAUUUCUUUGAAGAUAUUUGGAGUGAAGUAAGCUCACAGCUCUGAGGUGUCAUCAAGUUUCAUUGCGAGGCACUGAUUUGGUUUAAAAAUUGAUACAGCUGGAUCUCGCUGUCACAAUGUGAUAAGUGUGACACUUUGGGUUUAAAGCUCUAAAGCAGAAAAAGGAUCAUUUCCAGGCCUACAACUCUGAUUACCAACUUUUAUAUCCCAAUGACCAGAGCAAAAAGGUUCACUGAAAGCUGUGUGAGACUUUCAGUUGAAAUACGAAAUAAACAGAUAAUAUUAGAAGAGAGGAUAAAAACAGCUCAACAUUUUUUUUUUUUUUUUUUUUUUACUAGUAUGCUCAUGUAAUUUCUGGCCAUUUUCAUCUCGACCAAAAAACUGCACUAGUUUCUGGAUGGUGUCCUCACUGCAGUUCAUCCAAUAAGCUGCAUCCCAGCCUGUGCUCAAAUCACUCCAUGUUCUCCUGCUGGUCUUUUUCACAGUCUUUGAUAAUUGCUUUAUUCGAUGCAAAAGGUUCAGGUCCAUACAGCUUUUAACGGUUCUGGCAUUCGACUCUUUGGACCUUCAGUCUAUGGUCCUGAUCUACAAAAGGUUUGCGUGUGCAAAAGCACACGCAAACUUGAUAGCGCACGAAAAGCUGAUGUACUAACCUGGCGCACCGAGGAUUGCUUCGGUCAAAUGAGCAAAACAGCAUGCGCAAUCUAUUUAGCGUGUUUGCCGUCAUGAAUUUGCAGAUUGUAUGUAUAUCAUCAGACUGCGCAAAAUACUGGGAGGAGCAGAUGCAAAUGGAAUCAUUUAGCUCCUGCAAUGUGAUUCGGAAACUGAUUGGAGUCGCUGUUUUGCGUCUAUAUUUAGCAUGUUUGAAGACGCAUGCAAACUGGCACAGCGUUACUUACAAAUUGCUGCAGUCACUGCAGGUAGAAGGAGGCACAAGCGUUAUUCUAGUAAAUUACGGUUUUCAUAAAUAUUUAUGUCAAACACGAAACAGGUGAAAAAAAAAAGAACUAUUUUUCUAAUGUAUUUUAAAUGGCUUGAAUUUCUUUUUUUUUCUUCGUUUCAACCAAUUUUCUUGCACUUUGAAUUGCCUUGUGUAUGAACGGUGCUAUCUUGCCUUUGUAUGCAGUUGCUAACUACCCCAAAACGAUUGUUGCAACUCCAUGGCUUUAAACCUAAUUUUUCAUCUACGACCACUCUGAUUUCACAAACUCUCCAUGGUGACAGCAGAUGGUGCAAGCAAAAUCCUCGUUUAAAGAGGGCAGUCUGCACCACUUUUGCUUGCAAUGUUGGUAGAUCACCUGCAACAUGCCCAAUAAUAGCACGUGCAAUUUUUUAGUUUGCACACGCAAUUCAACGUUCUCUAUUUGGGAUCUUAGUAGAUAAGGCCCUUGGUGUUUUCUAUUGUUAUGAAAUGAUGGGAAACACUGAAAGAGUAUGCUCACAUUAAUAGUAAUAAUCAUUAUCAUCCAAGCUGGAGAAUAUUGAUAUGAAAAUGUAAAAGAUAACUCUGUAAGAUGGACAUGAUGGCUGCCGACAAACCAGCAUGCCCACACACACAAACUGUAACUGUCAACCUGCACUGGUCAUUUCUGUCCCAUCCAGACUCACACAGCUGUGACACAUGCCAGCUGGUUAGUGGGUCUUUGCAGCGACAACACAAUAUAUUUUUAUACCUCACAAAGAAACUUGUGGGUUGUUGGGUUAGCCACCCACAGCCCUCUGAAAGGAGACAGAGACAGGACUGUCACCUCAUGUGAACAGACACAUGACAGAGUAACAGCUAAAAUAAAGUGCUGACAGUCCUGAUUCUCCAUCCAGGUUGACAUAAAUCCAACAAGAUCACUACUUUUCUUUAGUCUUAAUGCAACCCAAAAUAGAGGUUUAAUCCUAUGGAGCCAGAUCAGGCUCAAAAGUAUUGAAAAAGUAGUGUAAGUGAAAAAAUAAAAAGUGAAGUGAAAAAAUAAGAUUUGAACCUGAAAAUAGUAAAAUGGUACCUGAAAGUCUUGAAUUUCGAAAUUGAACUUUGAAAAAUCCCAGAAUGCAUGAAAAAAAUCUGUUCAAAUGUAACUUUGAUUCUGUUUUUUAAUACUUUUGAAUAAAUUACUUAUUUCUAUUUUUCACUUCAAUGUAUAUUUUGAUCUUUGAGUACUUUUUUUUUUCGAUUGAAUUUUUUUUAUUUAUUUCAGAUUCAGAUCUUAUUUUUACGGAUUCAAUUUUUUUUUUCGGUUUCAGAUUUUUUUUUUUCAGAUUCAACUUGAAAAGUUUCAGGUUGACUUUUGAGCCUGUUUUUCCGUGGGGGCGGGCCUCGACUGAGAGGGGCGCGGUCUGCCAUGAGUGACAGGCCUCCCCCUCCUUCCUCACCCCAUCACCCUGCGUUCAGGAAGUGGCAUGAAUACACAUUAGCUUAGCCUACAAUUAGGCUGUAUUGGCUGAAUGAGAUCAUGUUGGUUCGUUCCACUUUAGUGGUGCGAUAUAAACUGUGAUUCAUUAAAAAGCUCUAUUGAUAUUAAGUACUAAAAAAAAUAUAUCUACUCAUGUCACCCUGUCGAUUUUUAGUAAUCAGUGUUUCGGUGUCGAACUAUUUCCCCUCUGCGGCGUAGUAAUACUUCGAAUAUGCAGGGGGUGAAGCGAUUUUUGUCACGUGGACCAAUAGGAGCCGAGUCUUGUUGCCAUAGUAUCAGAAAUACACAAACAUGGCGACGACCGCAUCACGCAGCGAGACAAGCGAAGAGGAAGAAAAGAAAAGGAACAAAAGAAGACAGCCUUCAAAAGUGCAUAAAAAGGAGCGAAACGAUGUUAUAUGCAUCUAUCAUCUGUCCAGAGUGAAGACGUUCUCGACUUUACAAGAACACGUUGGGAAACUUACAGAACUAGUAUUAGAAAGUGGCUUUCUCUACAGGGUGUGCAAGUAUUACUACGCCGCAGAGGGGAAAUAGUUCGACACCGAAACACUGAUUACUAAAAAUCGACAGGAUGACAUGAGUAGAUAUAUUUUUUUUAGUACUCACUAUCAAUAGAGCUUUUUAAUGAAUCACAGUUUAUAUCGCACCACUAAAGUGGAACGAACCAACAUGAUCUCAUUCAGCCAAUACAGCCUAAUUGUAGGCUAAGCUAAUGUGUAUUCAUGCCACUUCCUGAACGCAGGGUGAUGGGGUGAGGAAGGAGGGGAAGGCCUGUCACUCGUGGCAGACCGCGCCCCUCUCAGUCGAGGCCCGCCCCCACGGAGAAACAGGCUCAAAAGUCAACCUGAAACUUUUCAAGUUGAAUCUGAAAAAAGAAGAUCUGAAUCUGAAAAAAAAAAAUCUGAAACCGAAAAAAAAAAAUUGAAUCCGUAAAAAUAAGAUCUGAAUCUGAAAUAAAUAAAAAAAAUUCAAUCGAAAAAAAAAAGUACUCAAAGAUCAAAAUAUACAUUGAAGUGAAAAAUAGAAAUAAGUAAUUUAUUCAAAAGUAUUAAAAAACAGAAUCAAAGUUACAUUUGAACAGAUUUUUUUCAUGCAUUCUGGGAUUUUUCAAAGUUCAAUUUCGAAAUUCAAGACUUUCAGGUACCAUUUUACUAUUUUCAGGUUCAAAUCUUAUUUUUUCACUUCACUUUUUAUUUUUUCACUUACACUACUUUUUCAAUACUUUUGAGCCUGAUCUGGCUCCAUAUAAUCCUACAAGUAGCUAUAGAGACUAUCAUAUCCUAUAUGUGCAAAUACUGCACAGAGUUUAUCUUGCAACCUCAAAGGUCUCACAUAUCAAACUGCAGAAGGUCCCUGUCCUGCUGUAAGACCAUGUAUCUACAGCAUUCACAGACUACAGUAUGACAUAACAUGGUGGUAGAUGACAAACGCCUCUGAUCAGGGAUGAAUAGAGUUUCUAUUGGGUGAAAAACUUAGACUCCCUCACCCUCUCCUUCCAGCUGAGAGUCCAUACAGGCCUGGAGGACCUGCAUAAGUCUGAAAUAUCCUAAAAUAUUUGAAUUUGCAAUGUUUUCUUCAAUUAUUUAUUCAUUCAAACUGUUGUUGGUUAUUGUCUUUGCAGAGUGUUUGCUCAUUGUGUUAGUUUUGGACUGUUACAUGUGUUUUUUUAAUUGCACUGUUAUAAGAGAGGUUUCCCUUGAAAUUGAUCUUAAAUAAGUGGAAAUAUCUCAUGUUUGGGGUUUAGUUAUUAAAUGCCAAUAUUUACAACAGACUGCACCACUUCUCUGCAAGAGAACCUACUCUUGACUGAGGCUAGCCGAAUGAUUAGCCUAUGAUUUACAGAUCAGUGUGUUUCUGAGUGUCAACCCAACUUUUUCAUUGAUAAAGGUGUGCCACAAAGAUCAAUUUUAGGCCCCAUGCUCUUCACUAUCUAUAUCAACAACACCAAUUCUCUUUGAAUGGUUAUUAAACCCAUUUUUAUGCAAAUGACACUAUUUUGUACUGCAGUGCUGAUUAUGUACUGGAAGCCAUAAGGAAGCUUUGUAAGAAGCUCUUACUGCAGGAUGCUUUUAAAUUCCAGUAAAACAAAAUUCAAAGUGUAUUCAAAACAGUGACUCUGAAAAUGUUUACACAGUACUUUAAAUGGGUCUAAAAUUAAAUUUAAAAAAAGUCACUGAACUUAAAUAUCUUGGCAUCCAGCUCUAUAAAAAUUCUGUAUGCAAAUAUCAUGUCCACAUAUUAGUUUCCAAGCAGUGACAAAAAUAAAAGCCAGUGUUGACGCAGUGUUUUAAUUUGUUUUAGAUUAUGGUGAUAUUAUAUACGGACAUGUCAAAUCUACAGCCCCUGGACUAUGGUGACUAUUUUGCCCUCAGACUAAGUAUGGGAAUUGAUAAGAUUUUAUCGAUAUCAAUUCCAUUAGAUAAAAUGUAAAUAAUGUAGAUGGAUUGAACCAUUUGGAACUGGUUCUCAACAAGAAGCGGUUCUCGAUUCCCAUCCCUACCUCAGAGUCAAAAGGGACAGAUAUGAUGCCCCUCACUGUGUCCUUUCUGAAAAGGUUGGUUGGCCCUCACUUAAGCAGAGACAACAAACAUUGGUAUUUAUAUAUUUUUAAAGGUCUUGUAGGUAAGCUGCCUUCUUAAGUCACAAACUUAUUUGACUGGAUUUAUGGAGCCUUUACAGGACUUGUUUGUUCAAUUGCGCUGACACAGUACUUGGUCAACCUGCAUUUUCUUUUGAUGCCUUAAGACUAUUUCAAUUUUUUUUUCCCUUUUCUUGCAAUUUUCAAUCUCAAUGAGAUUGGAAAUGAGAGAAACCUCAUCUCCUACUGCAAAUAAAGGUUUGCAUGAUUGAAUGAAUAUUUAUCUUGCUUCAGAGAAGCUUCUUGUCCUCAAAGGCAACCAUCACCUUACUGACCACAGUGGUUUUCUGUACAAAAUAAAUAUGUGUGAUAAUUGAGUGUUAGAAGUUAUAAUCGGCCUGAACUAGUUUCUGCUUAGUCCACUGUACUUUACAGAUGUUAAGACAGCAAUGACAGGGGUGAGCAAGGGGCCAUUUGAGUCUGAAAUCUGACCACCUGGUUUAGCUAAAAAAUGUAAUAUCUACAAACUGUACCAACAUUGCAAUUACCUUGAGUGUUUCAUUUUCAUGUAUAACGUCAUUUCAAUUCAUAUAAACAUAACAACUGGAUCAAAAAAUGCUGAAAACCUAAUUUAAUUAUCAAGUCAGGUGCAAUGUGUAGAAUUAAAAAAUAUUUAUCAGAUCAGAUUUGGUAGAAAUCUAAUUAAAAGAUUUGUCAGCAUAUUUAAUGAGUGUCUAGCCACUUAAGGGCGUGGUUGUCACCACUUUAUACUGCCAUGUCUCUACAGAAGCUCAAUAUCGACUAACUGGUUAUGUUUUUACAAGACAAAGAAGCGGAGUAGUUGUUUUGGGGUGCACAAGACAUUGUGUAGAUGGAUGUUUUUGAUGGUCAAAACUGUAAGAAUGGGGGAUCAUACUUACGCAUUACAGGAGCUCCUGGUCGCCAAAGGCCGCCAUCACAACUGAAAUCAUGCCAACAAAAGAGGUGAGUAAAGGAGCAUUUUAGUCCAGAAUACGCACUGUUCCUUUAAAAGAGGGCAUGAAAAUAUCUGCAUGGUUUAAUCAAAAAAGGUUCAGUUAUGGAAACAGAGUUUGAGUUCUUUAAUGUCAUUAUUUGGUGUUCAUAGACAAACAGAUACACAGUGUAUCUAUUGGUUUAUCACUGUCCUGUGCUUAGUGGCUGCAGUAAUUAGAACGGCUGCAACAUGCAUUUGCAAUGUCCUACCGAGCCCCUGAUCACCAAUAACAGCAUUUAUUGUUUUCUAAUCAGCAGGCCUUUGGCUGCUCCGAUCACUCAGUAAAUAAUGGAGAUGUCAAUAAUGUCCCGGUCCUGUGACUCUGGAGCCCACUCACACACCCUCCCCGGCUCACUCUCCCCGCUCCCCCUCACCACUUUAAAACAGCCUCAUUAAUCACAUAUUACAUUUGAAAAGAGUUCAAACUGUCAGGUGUUGAAAAGUUCCAGUCAUACACCCGCACAUGGAUAAAACUUACACAGAAGUGCACGCUUGUAAAUGUCCGCUGACAUAUGCAAAACAUACCAGAAAAUAAAAACAUGGUCCUACAAACACUGCACACACCCCUCUUUUUUUUUUUCAAAUACACAGCAACCCCCCACCCCCCACCCCAAAUACAUUAGUGGUCAAGCAGCCAAAAUGUCGUCUCGUCAGUGAGGCAGCUCCAUUGAUUAGCACUUCCAGCCUCUGUUCUGGCCCAGGAAUUACCCCUCUAAUCUUGUAGUGAGUUAUUUACUGGAGACCAAUCAGCCUGAUCAGAUGAAUUACCCUCUUUGUAACUGCCUGGACGCCCCGGAGAACUCCAACAGCACACAAACACUGAUACACACAAGCAGAGACACAAUAAUGCUCCUGUGCAUAAGAAGAAAAAAUAUCCUCAAGUACAAAUACUCCCUCCUACAUGAUACCCCUCUUUAUAAGAUCAUUUGUAUUCAUGAGUAUUAGCAGCAGUGGCCAACAAGAACAGAGAAUCUGCAACAGCCUGAGCGGUCAUCAUCAGGAGAAACUGGCGGCAAAUGUCCAAACGGUGCAAAAAUACAUCCCGAACAAACCUCAGAAACAUGCUGCAAAAAAAGCAAAAACACAUGCAUGAGUGAAUGAGCUGCCCAUUCAAAAAUGAAGAAAAGUCAAAAACAAAUAAAACCAGGAAACAACUGCACGAAAUAAACAUGUUUAGACCUUUUGAAAAUAAGUGCUCCAGGCCUGUAAGGGCGCUACAUGAAACACACCAAGAUCAGACACUGAUGCUCUUACAGUGGCACACUUCAAUAUCAGGGAUGACAUUCAAAUUACUGUAACCAGGAGAGGCUGGCCUUGACUCUGACACUGGUAAAGCAGGACAGGGAGACGAUGUCAGGCAUGACUUUAGACCUGAGCUUGGGUCUCUAUGGGAUAUCAGGAGCUUGCAUGGCUAACAAGGCUGUGGAGCUACUAUGCCUGUGUCCUCUGAGCCUAAUACUGAGGAGAAUUGGAUGAUAAUACUGCUAGCAGUGUGGUUAACGAAGUGUUGUCUGGUUUUUCAGUCAUUUAAUAACGUAACUGACAAUAACAUCACUCUGUGUUGUUAAACCAAGUCUCUUUCAUGCCUCACGCUUAUGGCAUCACACCAUGAUGCUUAGACACCUAGUAGCUAAUAGCACAGCUGCACAGCUGGCUGAGAUCAGUAGCUACCAGAAGCAGUUACUUUAACUUGUUGCAGUUACUCGUUACUUUUUAAAAAAAGUAACUCUAAGUCAGUUACCUAAACCAAAAAGUAAUGCAUUACUGAGAAAGGAACUAUUUCAUGCUCUUAUUAUUUUCUAUUCUAGUAUUUUAUAUAUUAUUCUUCGUUUAAUGUUGCACUGUAAAAAAGUCUGUCUGUGAAUCCUGUUCAUUGACAAUGGCAAUAAAACCCCUUCUGAUUCUGAUUUAGUUACCGUAAAACAUUCCUCCAAUGCUCUCAUUACAUAAAGGUGGAUUAACUGAGUUCCCCUCUAGCCGUCAUCUUAGUUCUGUACUGAUGCUGAAUAAAACAAACUUUAUCAAAACAACCGUUUCAAUUCAAUUUGGAGCCAAAUCACUGAAUCCAAUCAACCAAGCAAUAUGAUCCGAUGUGCACCGACACAAACCUUGACACUAACGCCAAAAUGUUACCAUUGGACUCUUAGAAUAAUAGCCUGAUCGUGCUAAAAAGAUCCAAAUAAACAAUUAAAGAUACCAUGCUAUUGUUUUAUCAAGUUGUGUCUGGCUAUGAGUCCGUCUUCAGUCUCAAAUACUGCGUUAGCUACCUUAGCUGUUUACUUUGUCGAAGUAUGCCGCUUUUCUAGGUGCUUCAAUUGAUUGCUGUUGCUAUUGUUUGCCAUAGAAAGGAUUUUUGACCUGGGACACAGUUACCUGUUAGCGAAAAAUGUUGUUUUUCCCUUUGCUCUCGAGUUCAAAAUAAUGUGAGUAUCUCCAUGAGGAGAAACUUCUCUUCCCCUUCUCGCUCGCCAUCAUGCCAUGCCCUGAGCUGUUCAGUCCUCUUCAUGGCGCAUGUUUGAUUAUGUGUGUGAUGCCAGAGUACUGUGAAAGAAAAUACACCUCAAGGACACAAACAUGGCUGAUCUCAUUUAUGUGUGUGUUAUUAAAACUACAUCAGUAUGAGAUGAACUGGUAUGAAGUCAUGUUUCUUAAUUUUCAGUACCUGGACACAGCUCUGCAUCUUUACAGCCGCCACCUUUGAAAAAGUACAGUUAUGAUGGAGAGUAAACUCUGCGAUGGCCUUUCUUCUCUGUCUCCUGCAUCUCUCCAUUCAGCUCUGUUCUCCUUAAUUGGCCACAGAGCCACAUGAAAGCUAUAUGUUAACAUGGCAGAAAGUGAUUCAACAUUUCCUCCUGCCAGGCAGCCUUCCUGUUUCACAAGCCUAAUGAGAUUUAGGGUUUAGAAUAAACUCCUGUUUAGGUUGGGUGGCAUCCAUUUGGCAAAGAUAUAUGUGUGUAACUAAAUAUGUGUGCAUGUGCUUGUAUUCAGCUGCCAGUUCCAAUCCUGUGUAAUUAUUUAUGAUUUCUGCAUCAAGAACUUAUAAAGGACUGUAAGAGAGCCAGAACAAAGCAGGAGAAAGUGUCACAGGAAAAAAAAAAACAUGACUUGCAUCCUCUCUUUGCUUCUAUUCUUUCAUUAUUUAAAUGCUCCUCCUCCAUUCACCUUUCUACCCCUACUCUCCCCACCGUCUCCAUCUAUCUCUCUUCCUCUCUCUCUCUCUCUCACCCUGAUCCUCCUCCCUCACCUCCUAACUCUUGCUCCUCGCUCAUUCUAGAGGGGAAACAGCAGUGCCGACAGGCGAAGCAGAAACCCAUUUUUCAGUUUAAAUGCCAAGUGGUUAUGUAGCAUAAUAUUCAGUCAGAAAUUAACCAUCUUUCCCCUGCAGCCUGUCAAGACAUUGAGACAGAGGGCUGCAGCUGAGGCUAAAAAGGCUGUAGAUUUCUCCAAAGCUGAGUGUGAAUCAUUGAUACUGCAUCUCCAUUUCUGCAGAGAAGACCUCAGAAACAUUACAUCAGAGAUAACUAACAAAUAUAUGGGGCCUUUAGGACUAAUGCAUGUGCAGGAAAGAUUACAUCUUAUGGGCUGUAUUUGUGUUGUUGAACAGUUUAGCUACCAAACUGUGAGACCGUCUCAAGUCCUGGUCUCUGCUGAAUCCCUGAAUCCUGGAACCUGGACUUGUCUCUGAAGUGCUAACCAAUGAAGGCCAAUGCAAACCUUAGACAGAAAUCCUCCUGUCAGCUCACGUAAAGCGUCAGUACAAGGAGAGCAGGAGAUUUCACAAAAAUAUGUAUGAGGCCUCGAGGAUUCAAAAUUGAAGUCCAUAUUGAUCAUUCUUACUCUUCUGAUUUCACUGUCUGUUCUUAACUUUGUAUUUCAGGUCAUUUUCAGCACAUGUUGUAUUGAAAUCAAUACAUGACCCUUUGUCAUUACCUCUUCUCCUUUGCUUCCUAUAACAGCCAUGUUUUACCUGAAAUGAAUGGAGUAGAGGACUAUUUUACAAGCUGUAAUGGGAAUUUUAGACAAAUGGAAAGAUGUCAACUAAACAAAAUAACAGAGAAGCACAUGAGAAAACUGCACCUCUGUAAAAAAAAAAAGAAAUCUCAGAAAUUUUCUUGACAUGAACAUGGAUCUACACAUUACAAUAAACACAUCAAAGCUUUACUCAACCUCAGUUUAAAGGCACAGUUGGUCUAGUUUGCAGUAACAGGUUAGAAAACAUAUGGAUGUAUUAAGAUAUAGCAUGAUGCUUAUUAGCAACUUGAGAUAAACUCAUUGAUUGAAUACAACAACAGGCACUACUGUUAUCUGACAAUCACAUGUCACUGAAAAAUAGACUAAUAUCACAGAAUUGGCUGAAUGAAAAACACGUAUCUCUACUUUUAGCAAUCUGGACUUUUUUCAAUACAUACAUGGUCCCUAACAAUAAUCUUCCCUAACAACCAGAAGCUUUGGGUAUCCAACUGACUGAUGAAAAGACAUUUUAUAACGUCAUCUUUUAAACAAGUAUCUCCAUUGGGUGUUGGAAGUGUCAACAAAGCACGUACUCCCCAUCCUGGCCCUGCUUGUCAUGUCGGCAAACUGACUUUACACUAUGACAGACUCAUUACAGUCCAGGGUAAUGCUGCACUGAUGUCCUCACAUUGACUGAUGCACACCUAAAACUUUUUCUAACCAUGACAGUGUUGCUUACCUGUACAUUAGAUUUCUUGAGCCGAAGUUCAUCCCAGAGGCAAAACUGCUGCUGUUUUCUCUCUUACACUUGGUUGUGGACACUAGUGCAUGCUAAAUUGGGAGUCACGACCAUAGACUGUAUAAAGAAUGGACAGAGUCUGCCUCCUUGCUGGGUGAAGCCACUCCGAGAACAGCACCCUCUGUUGAUGGGCUGCAGUACAGGUCAUAAAUCCCUCCUCCGCCAGCAAAGCUUAUGGGGCUGUGGACCAACUUUAGAAAUUUAUUACACAGAACAAACCUUUUUCUCCCCCCUGCUUGCAAUGUUGACAUGUAGUUAUUGACACCUGAUACAGCCUAUUGGUGUUCAGGGAUUGCGUAGCUCUCCCGGGGGAUACGCUGUUUGAGUCGAGCAUCAUCACAGCGACUCUUGGCUACUGCGUGGCCGAAUGCGUACAUCGCUGCUGCACAGCGCUGGUUUCAGAAAAUGAAGAAAAAUCUCGGAAAUAUCGAGAGCUUUUUGGCUUCAAAUCCGUGUACAGGCGGGAGGCGAAACUAAGUUGUCCAUAGUAUAUACAGUCUAUGGUCACGACUCAAAAAGGUUGACAGCCAAUGUGCUAUGUGGAAAUUUAGGAUAGCCUGAUAUCAAUAGUUUAUCAACAUAGUGGGACAUAAACAGGAUACUCGAAUUUCACAAGUAAACGAACGUCAUUGGAGCACAUUAUUAAAAAAAAACAGGUAUGUCCACUAUCACUUACAAUGCAAAGCACGUAAGUCCAUUCAAAGUAUCGAACAGGUCACUGAUGACUGUGUAAAUAUAGAUUAUGAUUUGGGGUCCUAAUUGUGUGUAAUUAAAUUAAUUUAUAAGGUAGUUUAUGAAUAAAUUUUUUUUUAAUGUUUCUGGAAAAAACUAAUUUUGGAGUUACGUGUUUUUUAUUGGACAGCAACAAUAUAUUAAUUGUUUAUAACUUUCAAGGGUAACCGUAGCAAAGUAUCUAAGUGUUGCAGCAGCUGACUAUAAUCUAAUUUACUGCCGGUUUGGGACACUAAUGGAGCUUUAGCCACACAAAAUGUAGGUUCCAUGAUCUAACAAAGGCAGCAUCCCAUAUUCAGCCUGAAAUAAACAGCUUUACAGAAAGUUUGGAAAAAUUCAAAUCUAUUUUGUCCCAGAUACACUGUUUUUCAAUUCAUAUCAUUGUACCCUUGUCUAAGGGUAACUUGCACAUCAGCCCCUUUGUUUCUGCCCAGGAAACCCUGCGUCACAUUCAGGUCCUUUGAUUCCUCAGGAGCAGGAAGGGGAUCGAUAGAGGCUUUCAGAAGUGGCUUCUCCAUCCAUUCCCCUGCGUUAACGACAGCCAUAACUCACCGCUCUGGCAGGAGGGGAGGUUCAUAUAUAUAUCUCACCCCCAGAGCUGUGACCUUUCUGUCUCCCCACUGACAGCUCCUACAGAAAAAGGUGUCAAUUAAUGACAUUUAGAAAAUUUCAUAUCACUCCCAAUAACUCUGAGGCCUUUUACGGGAACUCUUCUAUUGGCACUGAAGACUUGUGAAGGUGUUGGCGAAGGAGAGACAGGGAGGAGGGUGAGAAAGGGACAGAGAGAUGUCAUCAUUUUGGGCUCAGGAUGGAAUAAAGAGCAAUCCAUCAAUCUGAUUGUGUUCACAAUGAUCUAUUAGUCUGCAAGGAUUCCUUUGUCCACUUUUACCAAUGCCUUUAUUUUUUAACUACACUGAAGACCAGUCCAUGAUGAGGAGGAAGAUGCAGUCUUAAAACUGGGAACAAAUCAGGUCUACAGUUGAGGCCAAAAUUAUUAGCCCCCCUAUGAAAUUGUAAGUUUUUUUUCCAAUUUUUUUUCAGUACUGUUCAAUAGAUUAAUGAUUUUUUACACAGCUUUUCCAAACAUCCUAGUUUUAUUUUAGAUCCUUACAUUUUUUUGCUUUGCGCACAGAAACUAAAUUAUUUCAGAAAAAACAAAAACUACCAGGGUCAAAAACAUUAGCCCCCCCUCAGGCAAUAGUCAAUUGUGUGUCCUUUUUGUUGGAAAACAGCAUGCAGUUAUUUGCUGUAGUUUGUAACAAGGCUCUGGCACAUCUCCUGAGGAAUCCCAGCCCAUUUCUCUUUGGCAAAUCUUUCAAGUUCCUCCAGAUCUGAUGGUCUUCUAGCAUGGACCCUGGUCUUUGGUGCAGCCCACAGAUUUUCAAUGGGAUUUAAGUCAGGGCUUUGUGCAGGCCGGUCAAUAAUGUUCACUUUGGUUUCCUGGAGGCAGCUCCUCACCAGGAGGUUUUGGGUCGUUGUCAUGUUGGAAGGCAAAGCGACGACCCAGACCCAGUUUUGCUGCUGACUGCUUGAGGUUUUCUUUCAAAAUAUUCACAUAUCCUUUUUUCUUCAUUAUUCCUUCAACCUUGACAAGAUUCCCAGAUCCAGAUGCAUCCCCACAGCAUGAUACUCCCACCACCGUGUUUAACUGUGGGGACAGUGUUCUUGGGGUUAUACGCCUCUUCCUUCUUUCUCCAAACAUAAGCAAUGUCUCUGUGACAAAAGAGCUCUAGUUUGGUCUCAUCUGACCAAAGAACACAUCUCCAGUUUGAACAAUCUUCCUCCAGAUUGUCUUUAGCAUACCUCAGUCUGAUUUGAAGGUGUCUCUUUUGUAGAAGUGGAGUUUUUCUUGGCCUGCAUCCUCACAGUCCAUUUCUGUUCAGGGCUCUAGAGACUUUCUUGUUUGACAUCACAAUUCCUGUCUUGACUAAGUCAUCAACUACUCUUUUGGUGGUUGUUCCAGGUUGUUUAGUAACAUCUCCCACUACUUUUCUUUCCAGUUUCUUUGAAAUUUUUCACUUCCUACCUCUCCCAAAAUUGUUCUGUGCUGUGUGACUCUCCUUGAAUUUCUUGAUGAUACUUCUCACUCCACUUCUUGACACUUGGAAAUGUCGUGAUAAUUUUUUAUAGCCUUCUCCUGCUUUUUGAGGAUCAACAAUUCUUUUUCUUGUGUCUAAACUAAAUUCUUUUGUAUUUGCCAUGAUGCCUUCUCAAGUCACAGCUCAAAUGUGUGACAAGGUUUUUCUUACUGAGUUUAAAAUGUAGGACAACCCUUUGUUUUAACUGAAUUGAUGAUUGAUUGAUUGAUUGAUUGAUUGAUUGAAAGUACAUGAUUGCGCAACAGUGGUUUUUGUUUUGGCUCAAUGAAAAUGUAAAUUCUUAAGGGGGGUUAUAAUUUUGACCCUGGUAGUUUUUGGAUUUUGUGAAAUAAUUUUGUUUCUGUGCGCAAAGUAAAAUAAUGUAAGGAUCCAAAAUAAGACUAGGAUAUUUGAAAAAACUGUGAAAAAAAAUCAUUAAUCUGUUGAACAGCACUUAAGAAAUUUUGGGAAAAAAAAGAAAAUUCAUAGGGGGUCUACUUAUUUUUGGCCUCAACUGUAUAUUCAGGAGCUCCAAAGACUCAUUGUAGGGAACACUUUGGCGCUUUUUGCUCAUUGCUUUGAUGCAACUCCCGAAUCCCUCGUUCGUAUUUUCUCCAGCUCUGUUUUCUCAGUUCCAUGUCAGUGCAGUUUAUAGUGCAGCAGUGCAUUGGUUACCUUGUAGUGUUCAGGAGUAAACAGCCGGCGGGUGACAUAACCUUUCAUGUAGCGAAAGACCGUACGUACACAAAUAAUUGAAGCCCUUGACCCUGUCUAGCAGCACCGGGCUGUAAGUACAAACCUGACAUUUUGAUACCGCUCCGGGGGCCCCUUCUACCACUUAUUUUUAUAUUUCAAUAAUCCAUGACGGCUGUGGAGGGGAAAAAAGAGAGAGGCAGGGGGUAUGUGGGAUGUGUGAAUGAUUAAGAUUGUCAAACCUGAAUAAUGCACUCAGAAGACAGACUAUAAAUCUGGGUUUGUGACAUUUUCAAGAAAAAAAAAAAUCAACACACUGUAUGUGAGGAAAGCUGGCUUUUAUAGCUGCAGCCACCCAUGCAAUCACAGCUGCACACAAACGUACACACAUUGCCCCAAAUGCCAUUCAUUCAUUAUUAAUAUAUAUUGUAUUUAUUUUUCUCAGGCCUCCCUCAUGCUGCUGGAUGCCUGUAACCUUUUCAGAGUGAUAUCCACCCGUGUUUGGAGCUGCUUUUGAUAAUGAUAUCUGGUGGUAUGCUGGGGGGACAGUCACCAGUGGAAGGUCAGUGGUUGAUGUCGCUGGAUUUGCCGUGGUGAAAGUAUACUAAUGUGGACAG